GCCAGACUCCUACGGGAGGCAGCAGUGGGGAAUAUUGCACAAUGGGGGAAACCCUGAUGCAGCGACGCCGCGUGAGCGAUGAAGUAUUUCGGUAUGUAAAGCUCUAUCAGCAGGGAAGAAAAUGACGGUACCUGACUAAGAAGCCCCGGCUAACUACGUGCCAGCAGCCGCGGUAAUACGUAGGGGGCAAGCGUUAUCCGGAUUUACUGGGUGUAAAGGGAGCGUAGACGGCGGUGCAAGCCAGAUGUGAAAGCCCGGGGCCCAACCCCGGGACUGCUCUUGGAACUGCGUGGCUAGAGUGCAGGAGGGGCAGGCGGAAUUCCUGGUGUAGCGGUGAAAUGCGUAGAGAUCGGGAGGAACACCAGUGGCGAAGGCGGCCUACUGGGCUUUAACUGACGCUGAAGCACGAAAGCGUGGGUAGCAAACAGGAUUAGAUACCCCAGUAC
rnacentral:rRNA from 1 species